CAGGAAAUGCAGCGCCCCACUGACGGUGGAGGGCUGUGGGCGGGUUUUUGCUGCUCGGGUGAGAGCUGAGGGGAGCGGGUGGCACCACGGUGAGCGGCGCGCGCGGGUACCGCUUCUCACACCGCAGCCAGGAUGCGGUACGGCUGGGGGAAGCGGAGAAGAAGCGAGAAUGGUCAGCUGCUGUGCAACGUGCAGCUGAGGAAGUUAAGACUCUUCAGCCUGGUAAAAAAAAAAACAAGCAACAAACCUCCUGUAGUAAGAGACUGUAAAAUGGAAUAGGUGGCUUAGGAAGAAACGCCAAGAAAACUGUUUAUGAUGUGGCCUGAAUUGUCUUUAUCUUCUAAUUGAAGAAACAGUACUAGAACAGCUAUAUUCCCUGAAAGGUGAAGGAGAAAAGAAGGUGGAUAAGGGUGAAAGACUUGCGAGAUUAAAGAUGUGAGCUUGGGGUUGUUUCCUGCUGAAGAACUGGAUCAUUAAAAGCCUGACAGUUCCUUACCAAACUCUUAAAAGAAAUGUGUGGGUGUAGUAGGGCGAGCAAAAAGUAAGAAACCAUCACCACAUGUGUGCUGGUGGUGAUUAGUGGGAGAAACAGGCUCUAAAAGGAGCCUGAUGUGAUGUGUGCCCCAGCACUUGGCAGGCUGUAUCGUCACAGUAAAAAAAGAAAAAAAGUUGGGAAUUACUUUAAGCAGUUUGAAAUGGGCAUAACUUGUUGCUAAAUUAGACUGGUGAUAACUUUUCACUGGGGUGAACUAUUCUGUAAUGCAUAGGGUAAAAAGCAUGUGGACUUUGAUUGUCCAUAAAAAUGUGCUGAUUUAGUGUUCUAAAUAUUGGAAAAAUCAACUUUUGAGGUAGUUGGUGAAAUGCAAAAGUGAACCUGGGCACUUUAACCUUCCACUUUAACAGAGGAAGUGAAAUGCAUCUUGUGGGACUUCUGGUAUUACUGAAAAACAAACAAAAUGUGGGACCGUUUGUUUCCAUUUUGGCACUUUUCUCUUGGAAAUUUGCAAUGUGUCAUUUUGCCACGGGGUGUCACUAAAAACAUGCUGUGAGCUGUUAUGCUCCGUGUUUUUCUAGUUGAAAACUGUGGGCCUAACCAAGGCAACUCUCUGUUCCCUUAAUUAGAACCAGAAUUUGCUAAAAACAUGUAAAGUGUGCAGAUCACCAGGUGGACAGGUAAAAAUGUCAUGGGUCUGUUUCUGAUAUGCUGAAGGAUAAAAUACACACAGAACAACAAAUACCUUUCCUGAAAAGUGGCUAUUGUUGAAGACAGACCAAGCAAGAUUAUUAGAAAUAUUCUGACAGUAAGCAAAAAGUAUGAAUUUAUAAAUACACACCAUGAUUUAUUUAUCUCUUCACUUGGUCUAAUGAGAACUGCAUUAUAUAGAAAACUGUGAGAUUUGGAGGGUGAGGUUAAUAGAAGAGAAGUAGUGCAAAGCUGUACUCAUGCCAUCUUCUCUGUGGACCUAAAUAACAACCUUUCUGGAUUGGACUUCAAAAAUUUCUUGUGUCUCAACUAUUAUCGUAUAAAUCAUGUAUCUGCAAAAUAUAGCAAUGAUUAUUUUUGCUUUUGAAAACAA